rnacentral:rRNA from 1 species
GCUCAAUGAUUAAUUUUAAAUAGCUGCAGAAUUUUAACUGUACAAAGGUAGCAUAAUAAAUAGUUUUUUAAUUGAAAACUAGAAUGAAAGAUUUAAUGAAAAAUAAACUUUAUUAGUUAAAUAAAUUAAAAUUUUUUUUAAAUAAAAAUAUUUAAAUAAACUAAAUAAACAAAAAGACCCUAAAAACUUUAUAAAUUCUUAAAAUAAUUUAUUUAAUUGGGGAAAUUAUAAAAUUUAAUUAAUUUUUAUUUUUAACUACAAAAAUACUUGAAUAAAACAUUUUUUAAAAAAAAUUAAUUUAAGUUACUUUAGGGAUAACAGUAUAAUUUUUUAUUUUAGAUCAUAUAAAUUAAAAAGUUUAUAACCUCGAUGUUGAAUUAAGAUACAAAUAAAAUGAAACCAUUUUAAUUUUAAGUCUGUUCGACU